rnacentral:tRNA from 1 species
GGGGAGGUUCAACCAACAAGAACUGCUAACUCUUGCAUCUGAGUWUAAACCCCCAGUCCCCUUA